UCAAAUUCUGCUAACAUUUAAAAUUGGAAUUUGCUGGUGGUAUAUGAUAGCAUCUUUGUCCGACCAAAAAGAAAAAGAAAAAAAAGUUGAUAGCAUAUUGUACCAUUUUGGCCAGUGUAAGCUAUAUUAUUGCAUCCCACUUUGCAUAUUAACAUCGGUGGCCACAGUUCCACGAUUUGAGUGCACAGAAAAGGUUUCAAAAGUUGUCCCACAAAGAACAGUCCUUCAAAGUGAAAGAGAGUUUUCAAAGCUUAAUUACAAGUUCAUGUUAUUUACAAUAUCAAAAAGCUUUCAUACUUGCUUACAAACCUGUAUUUCAAAGUUCUGCAAACCUUGGAAUAUCACUUCAUCCAAAUCCCCUUCCAAAGCAGAGAAAAAUGGCAGCAGCUUUGAUCGGAGAGGCUCUCAUCUCUGCUUCUAUUGAGGUGUUGUGUGACAGAGUUACUUCAGCCUAGUUCAUCGACUUAUUUCGGCAGAAGAAACUCGAUGAACCACUCCUCAUGAACCUGAAGACGACAGUGUUGAUUUUGUUCGCGAUGCUCAAUGAUGCAGAGGAGAUGCAAAUUGUGAACCCAGCUGUGAGAGAGUGGCUUAACAAGCUCAAGCAUGCUGUCUUGGAUGCAGAGGACUUACUGGAUGAGAUUGACACUGAAGCUUUGCGAUGCAAGCUGGAAGGAGUCAGCCACACAGAAUAAGAAACUACGGAUGGGAGCCAACUUAUUUCAUACUAUUUUAAAAUCCCUUUCUUUCUCAACAAUGGAGGAAUUUAUACUAAUUGCGUAGCUUUAUGUAUAUGGUUGCAGCUGGUUAAGGAGGAUCAGACUAAGCAGAUUCAUACAUUGCAUGCGUCACGUCAUCAGCAUUUCAGACUGAAAAUGGACCUUCAAUUGUCUUAUGAGCCAAUGGAUUUUUCAAGAGUCUUAAACAUGGUUCUGUUGGAUGCUGGAAGUGCCUCUUAUCGAACAGACCAAAUAUGUUCACACGUGGCAUCGCUCAAGUCAUCAUCAUUUCAGACAGAAAAUCAGCCUUCAAGUGUGCUGAGUCAAUGAACCUUUCUAGAUAUAUCAAGUGCAAUGGAAAUUCAUGAGUUACAUAGAGAUUUGUAAACAUUUUGAAGAUUGCAACACCUGCAAGUGAGAUAGGUGGUGACGAAAUCAGAGCUGAUCUUGAAGCCUCUGACGCCCCUGUUGUUGCAAGUUGCACCUGAGAACAUGUUUUUUUUUCUGGUAAAAAACUUGCAACAUGUUCGAAGCUGGCAAUUCAAUCCCCGAUGAACUUGAGAAGCAAAGCUCCAGUAAGGAAAUUGGUCGAGGUCAUGACAGGGAUGAUUGAUGGUGAAAUGGAUGCUAUUUCUUAUUGCAGCCUGUUCUCAAAGUUCUUGUUGGAUUGGGAGGAGAAAUAAUGAAAUGUCUUGACAAUUCUAGAACAGCCCAUCAUUAAUCCCGGCAAAAGUCCAGUUUCUGCUAAACAAUCACUUGUGGCUAUAAGACAGACAGAGUUACUGACC